CUAACGAGACUGCCAACGUAAGUUGGAGGAAGGUGGGGAUGACGUCAAAUCAUCAUGCCCCUUAUGUCUAGGGCUGCAAACGUGCUACAAUGGCCAAUACAAUCAGUUGCAAAUCCGUAAGGUGGAGCUAAUCUGUAAAGUUGGUCUCAGUUCGGAUUGAGGGCUGCAAUUCGCCCUCAUGAAGUCGGAAUCACUAGUAAUCGCG
rnacentral:rRNA from 1 species